UCCAGGGUGAGACAGGAGGUCAUGAGUUCCUGCGUGAGUCGCACUUGGGGCUGACUCCAAUUAGAAACUGAGCUGUGCCCUUGUGAUCAGGACUUGAGGGCCAUGCAAGGAAGAGAGCUGCGAAAUCUCACUCCUGGCUCCACCUGUCCAAAGCAGCUGUUUUUCCCUCCGUUUCCUGGCUUCCAAAAAUCUUCCCAAGAAGAGCUCCACCUUAGCUUUUACAGAGUCCCUUCGAGAGAAUUGAGUCAUUAACCAUUGGAUCAACUUGUCAAGGCUUUGCAUCCACCUGCUCUGAUCCCCAAUGAAGUCCAUGGCAGUCUUUCCAUUUUCAAAGUAACUAGAGCUGCCCAGGUGGGCAAAGAGAAAAACCCAAUGUUCCUCUGCUCAGCUGCAGGACUGCAAAGGGCUCAUCUGGAGAAUGACCCUGAAUACACUGGGAGGAGCAGCUCAUAGAUACUGAAAUGUGUAAUGCAUUGUGAAGCCCACUGUGGGGGACACAGGACUGCUCUGCAGCCAGGUGUGCAAAGCUUUAGUCAAGGUGCUGUGAACCUUUCGGCCUACUUAUCACUAAGAAGAGAGCUUCAAGAUUGGAUCCUACUCCAUAGAGUUUCAGUAUUAUCUGACAUUGAUUAGUUUUACCUUUGGAAAGUGUGUGUGCGGGGGGAGAUUAUUGAUCUUAAAUAUUAAAUAAACUUUGUGAGACAGUUUGGUGGUCAGUUUGUCAGGGGUUAUUUCAUGUCCUAACACUUCCCAUUGAUAGGGCUAUUUGCUAUUGUGUCAAUUACAGCAGAUCUUUAUCUGUAUUGUUUAUCAUGUGUAAAGCAUAGAUUGACUUUCUGAAUGUCGGGUUGUUGACUGUUUUCAUAACAGGAAGCUGCUUGCUGUCUUGCCAUAUUAAGGAACUCCUGUGUGCACAAUAUUUUCCAAAGCAAAAAUCUAAAACAACUGCAUUGGUUGGGUGACUUCCCUUGACUCAAGUUGCUUUUGUUCCUUGUAAGGCAAAAUUCUGUAUAGAUACAUAAACUUGCUACACAUAUGCAUGUUGUCUCUUGGUCUCAGAUACAUGAAAGACAGCUGUCCUCUUGUCAAGUUUAAAUACUUCCCAACAUCAAAACUAAAUAUCAGCACUUUUUCAUAAGCAUCCACUGAUCUGGAGUACCUUCCCUUUUUGGUUGCCUAACCAGACACACCUGCCUCAUUUUUUUUUUUUCCAGAGGCAUUGAGGACCUACAGCUCCCACUUACUUCAAUUGGAAUUGAAGAUGCUCAUUGUUACAAUCUGGCCUAAUACCCCACUGUACAGACACCAUUCUGUUGCAAGAAGACCUAGUCACUGGGUUCCAUGUACUUUCAAGCCAGUUGGGUCAGGGUAGAGUCUAGUCAUUGUUUCUGGCUCUGGGUGCCUAGAGCAAACUCCAAGGCUCAGACCUCUUGUUGCUGCCCUUCCUUGGGACAGGGGAUUCCGCUGCUCUAGUCCCCCAAAUCAGUGUCUCAGACCCCCUGGUCAUUUGCACCUGCCCCUAUAGUUCCACCUUGACUGCAGGCUGUCUGGGCUAAUAAUUUAACCCCAUCAAGAAUAACAUAGCAGGAGAGUAAGGAACAGAGGCUUAGCAUAGGAAUUUCUUAAUCUAAGAGACUUUACUCUUAAAAGCCCUUGAGAGUUCAAUAUCUCUGAAAACCUCAAAAGCCCUGAGACCCACUCCUGUAUCUGAUCUCACCCCUUCUUGUGAGGCCAAGUUGGCAUUGCAGGCCAGACAGAGACCCUCCUUUCUGCUCUCUCCUGCAAGCCGUUAUACAGGUGGUGAUAAUAGCAACCUGCAUGGAACUUGGAGAGAGGAGCAGAGGUUUCAGGAGGGAAGAGUUUAGAAGAGGCCCCAGGAAGUCAGUCUGUAUGCACAUGGCUGGAAUUCUAGCUGCAGUUGAAGCAGCUCUGUAAAUCUUAAAAGAAAGACCAGUCUAGUUUUACAAGCUGCGACAGGGGCCCCCCUGCUCCAGUCUUCCUCUGAACCCACAGACCCUUGGGGAGACUCUGCAAUUAAAUAUCAUAUGUGGCUUAUUUACAGUGUUUCCCCAAUCACCCUUAUGGAAUUGUGGAGCACCGUAUCUACUAUAACCUAUUAUUCCUCAGCCACUCAGGCUAAGUAUAGGGGAGGGAAAAGAUGUCUCUCUCUGAGCUGUCUUUUUGCUCUUUCUCUCUCUAAAAGCCUGCCUGCCUCACUCUGGCUCUCUUCCCUCUUCACUUCCUUCCUGUGUCAUCGUCUGCUCCUGGAGCUAACAGGCUAAUUUGUGCUUUAACUCUCCCCGGCCUGUUCUAAUCUGCUAAAUAGGCACAGUUUUGCCAGUCUGACUCUCGGAUGAUUUAAUUGGCGAUACAGUGAUCAGAGUGCUGGUACUGCUUCUGUUGCCCAGCACUCUGUCAUACAAGUAUGUGUCCUUUCAUGUUGUUACUCAGCACAUGAAACAUGGUCGUAGUGGGCAGUCUAGUGACACAUGCCAAGGAACAGAGUAUGAUUAACAAGCAAACAAAAGAACACCUAGAAACGGCAAACAGGCAGCGUGGAGGGACUCAGCCCACCAGGAAUGCUGGAUUUCCAGACAAAAUACUCCACAUCAGCAUGAAAGCAGUGGAAGCAAGAAUUGAUUCUGUAUACAGAGCUGGCCAUCAGGGACAAGCUACCACCUUAGGAAGAAAAAAGCACAAAUACAUGCAGUGAUGAGGAUGCAGAGACUUUCAGUGAAGUGGCAGAUCCCACGAUUCUCAAUGUACCCACACUGCAGAAGAAGUCUGCCCGCCAUUCAUCUGGUUCACAACCUAUUUGUUUCCCACUGGAUUGUGGAGCCAGCUGCAAUGUCAUCCCAGCAACAUUAGGAAGCAGCAGUAUUAGACUAGAGAAAUGAGGCCAAGUAUUUGGUUAUGAACAGUAAAAUCAUUCUGAGACCUGAAACAAGAUGUUAUUGCCUGGAGUAUAUAGUAGAUGACACACAGGAAUAGCACCCACUGCUGGGCAGCAGGGCAGUGCAAGCCAUGGAUUUGAUUACAGUAUAGCACCACCAUAUCCUCAUUGUGAGAUAGGAGGGAGAAUAGCCAUUGUGGGCCCAGCAUUCUAACAGUAACAGACCCCCAACGUGCAGUCCAUGAGGUUACCAAAAUGCAGAGUUCCAUUAGCUCUCGUGGAACCAUUGAAGAAGGAACUGUCCAGCCUGAAAAGAAGAGGUAUCAUUACACCUGUUGAAACUAGCUCAGAGUGAAUCAGCAGUCUAGUAGUGGUGAGAGAAACUAGUAUACGGAGGAUCUGAUUGAUCCAAAACCACUUGACCCGGCAUGGUAAAGAAGUCGCUACUUGUUACCAACAAUUGAGAACCUACUACCUGAUCUGUCCAGGGCAAAAAUAUUCAUUGUUUGUUCAUUGUCAAGAAUGGCUUCUAGCAUAGUAAGCUAAAUGAGCCAUCAAGCCACCUUGACAGCCAUUGCCACAUCUUUUGGCAGGUAUAAUAGGGCAUUGGCCUGGCCCCAAGGCUUUCCAGUAUUAGCUGAACCGGGAACUAGAGGGACUCCCAGAAACCAAGAUUGUAGUUGACAUUCUUAUUGUAGAAGGAGAUGACAACCCAUGAUGAUGAUGAUACCCCGCUGAGACAACUCCUAAACAGGGGCUGUGUGUGGAAUAUUAGGCUGAAUGCAGACAAGCUGAGAAGAACUGAAGUUCCCUAUACUGGACAUCUGUUGACUUCUAAAGGAUUCCAGACAAAAACUGAGAGCCAUUAAGGAAAUGUCAAGACCAAAGGACGUGAGGAGGUCCAAUGAUUUGGAAGGAUGGCCAACUACCUUUCCAAAUUUUUGCGCCCACCUGUCCGAAACCUGUGAACCCUUGAGACCGUUACCACACAAUGAUGCAGCCUGGGAAUGGGGAGAGAUCCAAGAAUUGGUGUUUGAAAGAAUACAGAAAAUCAUAAGCGAGGCACUGGUCCUGAAGUACAGUACCCCUGUGGAGUAGAUAGAGCAAUAGUGGGAUGCCUCAGGAGGCCUAGAUGCUGCACUGGUGUGAAGACAGCAGCCCAAAGAAUGUGCCAGUAGACCCUGAAAGGGGAUGUGCUCAGCUAGAAAGGGAGCUAUGGGCCGUGAUCUCUGGGGUGGAACAUUCCUAAGCAACUCUGGGCACAAGGUGGAUGUGCGGUCUGAGCACAAGCCAUUAGAAAGCAUCAUGAAGAAGCUGCUGCUGCGUGCACCCAGGUGACUAAAAUGCAUGAUACUGAGACUCCAGCAUUUUGAUGUGAGGGUAAAGUGCAGCUAGGAAAGUCACUACUGGUGGCAGCUACACCUGUACCAGGCAUACCUCCCAGAAACCUACCACACGGAUAGCAUGUAGACAGACUACAGUGCCUGUGAUGGGAGGCUCCAGGCAAUUCCACAAAAAGGAUGGGGUGCUACAGGAAGUAAAACGAUUCCUACGCCAGGGUUGGCUAGAUCCCAAGAGACAAGUGGAACAGGAUGUUUUCCCCCUACUCCCAGAUGAGAAAGGAGCUGUGUGCAAGAUGGGAUCUUGUUUCAAGGCAGCAAUCCCAGCCCAUUGGGAGCUGAUAUUUUGAAAUGCAUGUACCAUUCACAGCUGGGGAGAGAGGUCUUGCUGAGACGAGCCAGGGAGGGUAUAUCUCCUGGCCAGGCAUGAAUGUCAAGUUGAGCACCCCCAUGGGACAAUGUGAAAUUGACAACGGAAGGAGAUUCUACAGCCAGCCCCCCCCCCGGGAAAAGGCUGCAAACAGACCUGUUGGCUUUUAAUGCCAAGAGCUAUGUGGUCACAGUAGAGCGCUGCUCCUGUUUCUGGGAAGUGGAUUCUCUGGGGGCAACUAAGGCAAGAACCGGAGGCGCGUUUUGCAAGUGAGGAUGUACCUGACACAUCAUCAGACACUACAGCAGAAUUCAAACAGCUCGGUACCAAAUGAGAAUGGGAGGAGAAGAUGUCUUUCCCCUGGGUAUCCACAAAGCAAUGGAAAGGCAGAGUGGAAGAAAGGCAGUAAAGACAGCCAAGAAAUGAUGCCAAAGGCAAAACAGCCAGGAAGGGAUCCCUACCUGGCAAUGUUACAACAUCACAAUACAAUCCUGUAGGGACUAGAGAGUAGCCUAGCACAGGCUAGUGGGUCAGAGAACCAAGACUCUGCUUCCCAGGAGGGUAGUCUGCUGCAGCACAACGGAGGAAUAGUGGAGAGUUGUCAGGCGAAUGCCAAGCUAAAAGCAGGCAGCCUGCUACAACGGAAGCGCCAAGGACCUGAGACCACUACACACAGAUGGGCAGGUCGGGGGCCAUCCAUCCAGUAGCUGCACAAAGCAGCGUCAAACGGCAAUGAUCCAAGCUGCAUGGGACACCGCUGACUCAGGACAGCAGUGGAGAUGAACUGAAGAAACAUGUGGAGUCGUGGCAGAUGGCUGGCAUACCUGAACAGACGGGGCCAAGGUCAGGACCAGGAGGACUUAGCAGAAGCUCUUUCUAUCAGCUGGCCUGCUGUAGGACGGUCAGAAGGAAACAAGCUAUAUGAGCAACACCGGGUAUGUCUGCACAGAAACAAAACACCAGGAACUGGCCUGUGCCAGCCAAUUUGAGCUUGCAGGGGCAGAAAUAGGGUGGAAGCAAGAGCCAUAACACAAACAAGAAGAAGACUGGUGCAAAGACCAGCACACUUGAAGGACUGUAAGGUCUGAGGCCACAACAGGCUGGUGGUAUAGGCCAUGUUGCGAGGGUGGGCUAGGUACUAGUAACUUCUGGCCCCAGCAAGUCAGUAACUGCUGGCACAAAAGACAAUAAAAAUUUGUUAAAAGGAAAGAUGUAGCAACCUGCGUGUAAGAUGCAGGGAGGAGCACAGAUUGUAGGAGGGAAGAGUUUGGAGGGGGCACCAUGAACUCAGUUUGUAUGCACAUGGCUGGAGAGCUAGCACCUCCAUAAAUAGCUCUCUUAGGAAAGAGCCAGUUUAGUUUUACAAGCAUGGAGUCCUUUCAUGUAAUUACCCAGAAUAAGGUACAUGGAAAAAGUGAUGUUUGGACCCCUCACAGAGCAGAACCCCUCCAAAAUAGGGCCCCAUCUCUGGGUCCUGUGUUCAGACUGUGUAGCUGUAGACAAACCCCCCCCCCGCCCCCCCCCCCCACGCACACAUACACCAUAAUGCUGGCCAAAUGGGGAAGAGAGACGCUGGGAGUCAGCAUUCCUGGAGCUCUAUUCACUACCAUCAAUAGAAGUUUCUCAUAUGCUGUCCCCAGA